rnacentral:rRNA from 1 species
AUUGAACGCUGGCGGCAGGCCUAACACAUGCAAGUCGAGCGGCAGCGGAAAGUAGCUUGCUACUUUGCCGGCGAGCGGCGGACGGGUGAGUAAUGUCUGGGAAACUGCCUGAUGGAGGGGGAUAACUACUGGAAACGGUAGCUAAUACCGCAUAACGUCGCAAGACCAAAGAGGGGGACCUUCGGGCCUCUUGCCAUCAGAUGUGCCCAGAUGGGAUUAGCUAGUAGGUGGGGUAACGGCUCACCUAGGCGACGAUCCCUAGCUGGUCUGAGAGGAUGACAAGCCACACUGGAACUGAGACACGUUCCAGACUCCUACGGGAGGCAGCAGUGGGGAAUAUUGCACAAUGGGCGCAAGCCUGAUGCAGCCAUGCCGCGUGUAUGAAGAAGGCCUUCGGGUUGUAAAGUACUUUCAGCGGGGAGGAAGGUGUUGAGGUUAAUAACCUCAGCAAUUGACGUUACCCGCAGAAGAAGCACCGGCUAACUCCGUGCCAGCCGCCGCCGUAACAC